rnacentral:ncRNA from 2 species
UCGUUAUCAAGAGUGCGGCGAGAGACUGGCUCGAUGACCCGCCGGCAACCUCCCAAAAAAACGUUUUGGAGAUGGUGCCACCUCCAGCCUAUAGCCCUGAUCCGCCAACCGGCGGACGAAGGGCAAAGAGGGGAAGAUAAUAA